rnacentral:rRNA from 1 species
CCUACGGGAGGCAGCAGUGAGGAAUAUUGGUCAAUGGACGAGAGUCUGAACCAGCCAAGUAGCGUGAAGGAUGACUGCCCUAUGGGUUGUAAACUUCUUUUAUACGGGAAUAAAGUGAGGCACGUGUGCCUUUUUGUAUGUACCGUAUGAAUAAGGAUCGGCUAACUCCGUGCCAGCAGCCGCGGUAAUACGGAGGAUCCGAGCGUUAUCCGGAUUUAUUGGGUUUAAAGGGAGCGUAGGCGGACGCUUAAGUCAGUUGUGAAAGUUUGCGGCUCAACCGUAAAAUUGCAGUUGAUACUGGGUGUCUUGAGUACAGUAGAGGCAGGCGGAAUUCGUGGUGUAGCGGUGAAAUGCUUAGAUAUCACGAAGAACUCCGAUUGCGAAGGCAGCUUGCUGGACUGUAACUGACGCUGAUGCUCGAAAGUGUGGGUAUCAAACAGGAU